rnacentral:hammerhead_ribozyme from 1 species
GUCCAGCUGAUGAGUCCCAAAUAAGACGAAACGUGCAUCCUGGAU